UCAUUGCUCUCAUUGCUCUCUCUCUCUCUCUUUCUCUCCGCUCAAUUUUUACAACUUUUCUCCAUCUCUGCAACUCUCAUCUAUCUUCUCCAAUGUCAUAGCUUAAAUCUCGCGUACCCUCACUUACACAGCUCGAUUACGACCAAUUAAACACAAAGCCAUUACGAGAAACAUAGACAAUUUUAGGAAAUCCCUAUAACAAAUUAAAAUUGGUUGAUUUGUGGAUUUCAAUUCCAGGUUCGUUGGGUUUGGGAAUUCAUUUGUGAAAUUAGAAAUCAAGUCAAUAUUCUACAAGCAUGACCCUUCAAUAAUUACAAAUAGAUCGAUAUCUAUAAUUAAUCAGAUGAUUUUUUGUUUGGAACAUUUAGGAUUGGUCGUUGCUUUUACUUGAUAUAAUAAGUGAAAUUAGAGUUUUUUUUUAUCUUUUGAGUUAGUUGUUGUUCUUUACUCGGGAGUCUUUUGAUUUCAAUGUGCUCUCUAUCAAAAGGUUACCGUUUACUUCUUCUUUGGUGUGUAGCUAUUUAUGCGAUUCUCAUCAAUUAAGGUUUAUUUGUUGGAGUUUUGGUUAGUAUUUGUUAUUAAGUUGAGAAUCGAUUAAAGAUGUUGUUGUAGGUUCCGUGGUGGAGAAUGGCAGCGCUGAAAUCAUCAAGUGGAAAGGAGAAACUUUCGAAAAAACUUGAGAUUGCUGAAGAUGGUAAAGAGGAGAACGAUGAAGAAGAAGGAAGCAAAGCUUAGGUAGGCGUCAACGAAGAAGAAGAACAACAUUAAAAGCAAUUAAGAGAUUUUUGUUUUUGACUAUUUGUUUCUUGUAACAACAUUAAAAGCAAUUGAGAGUUUUCUUAGAACCGUGACGCCGUCGCUCAAUCUCAAACGACACAAAGGCCAAGCUGAUCAGUACUCUCCUUCGUCCCUGGAUAAUUGCUUCUCGGUUUAGUGUGUCUCUCCUUCUUGAUUUAGUUACGCAAUAUACUUUGGUGGAUUAAGGGCUAGAUAAUAGUAAGAAGACCCUUUUCUUU